CAGAGCACAUUUAACCAGACAGAGUACUGGAUUUCAAUACCGUCAACUCCAGAAAGCAAAAGCUACUCCAGGUCACCCAGCUGGCCUCCUUGGAGAAGGAGGGGGCAGAGGAGUGAUUCCUGCUGGGGGAAGCAGCACGCACACACCUGACAGCCCUGGAGCACAUUCCCCGAGCAGGAGCCAGGUGUGUGAGCUCCCCCUGCCUGGCCCUGCCCCGGGGGCCCGAGGGUCCCUCUCCCCAGCCCCUGCAGCCCUUGAUCUCUGCUGCUGGGGAGUGGGGAUGCCACUUAGCAGGAGCCCCAGUCACCGGGACUCCUCUUUGGGAUCAGGGAGAGUCGAGUGUGGUUUCACCCAGCAGCCUUUAAUAAUGUCUCAGCUCUGUUAAGCUGCCCACAAUUUCAUCCAGCCAUCUCUUUCAGAAAAGCCCUGCAUCUUCAUUACCUUCCCCUCAAGCCAUCUGGUCUCCCAACCUGACCUUUUUAAGAAAGAUUGGUUAAAAAAACUGGAGCAGUCCCUGAACAGAAGACCUUGUGUGUCAUGUUUAAGCCCAGAGCAAAUUUUUAUGUCCAAGCUGUGAAACCUUGAAAAUAAAGAUUUAUAAUUGAGA